rnacentral:rRNA from 1 species
UGGGGAAUCUUGGACAAUGGGCGCAAGCCUGAUCCAGCCAUGCCGCGUGAGUGAUGAAGGCCUUAGGGUUGUAAAGCUCUUUUUGCCGGGGACGAUAAUGACGGUACCCGGAGAAUAAGUCCCGGCUAACUUCGUGCCAGCAGCCGCGGUAAUACGUAGGGACCAAGCGUUGUUCGGAUUUACUGGGCGUAAAGGGCGCGUAGGCGGCGUGGUAAGUCACUUGUGAAAUCUCCGAGCUUAACUCGGAACGGUCAAGUGAUACUGCUGUGCUAGAGUACAGAAGGGGCAAUCGGAAUUCUUGGUGUAGCGGUGAAAUGCGUAGAUAUCAAGAGGAACACCUGAGGUGAAGACGGGUUGCUGGGCUGAUACUGACGCUGAGGCGCGAAAGCUAGGGUAGCAAACGGGAUUAGAUACCCACGUAGUCCCUGAGCGGGCUGGCAAGGCGCAU